UCGGCUUAGAGUUUGAUCAUGGCUCAGAUUGAACGCUGGCGGCAGGCCUAACACAUGCAAGUCGAACGGUAAAACAGCUUGCUGUUUACGAGUGGCGGACGGGUGAGUAAUGUCUGGGAAACUGCCUGAUGGAGGGGGAUAACUACUGGAAACGGUAGCUAAUACCGCAUAACGUCGCAAGACCAAAGAGGUUCGUCUUGCCAUCGGAUGUGCCCAGAUGGGAUUAGCUUGUUGGUGGGGUAACGGCUCACCAAGGCGACGAUCCCUAGCUGGUCUGAGAGGAUGACCAGCCACACUGGAACUGAGACACGGUCCAGACUCCUACGGGAGGCAGCAGUGGGGAAUAUUGCACAAUGGGCGCAAGCCUGAUGCAGCCAUGCCGCGUGUAUGAAGAAGGCCUUCGGGUUGUAAAGUACUUUCAGCGGGGAGGAAGGGAGUAAAGUAAUCUUUACUCUUGACGUUACCCGCAGAAGAAGCACCGGCUAACUCCGUGCCAGCAGCCGCGGUAAUACGGAGGGUGCAAGCGUUAAUCGGAAUUACUGGGCGUAAAGCGCACGCAGGCGGUUUGUUAAGUCAGAUGUGAAAUCCCCGGGCUCAACCUGGGAACUGCAUCUGAUACUGGCAAGCUUGAGUCUCGUAGAGGGGGGUAGAAUUCCAGGUGUAGCGGUGAAAUGCGUAGAGAUCUGGAGGAAUACCGGUGGCGAAGGCGGCCCCCUGGACGAGACUG
rnacentral:rRNA from 1 species